rnacentral:rRNA from 1 species
GGCGGGGUAACGGCCCACCAAACCGACGAUGGAUAGGGGUUCUGAGAGGAAGGUCCCCCACAUUGGUACUGAGACACGGACCAAACUCCUACGGGAGGCAGCAGUGAGGAAUAUUGGUCAAUGGGCGGAAGUCUGAACCAGCCAAGUAGCGUGCAGGAUGACUGCCCUAUGGGUUGUAAACUUCUUUUAUACGGGAAUAAAGUU